rnacentral:rRNA from 1 species
GCUAUGGCCUACCUUUCUGCCGGGGACGAGCUCCUGGGCUUAACUGUCCGGGACUCGGAAUCGGCGAGGUUACUUUGAGUAAAUUAGAGUGUUCAAAGCAAGCCUACGCUCUGAAUACAUUAGCAUGGAAUAACACGAUAGGACUCUGGCUUAUCUUGUUGGUCUGUAAGACCGGAGUAAUGAUUAAGAGGGACAGUCGGGGGCAUUCGUAUUUCAUUGUCAGAGGUGAAAUUCUUGGAUUUAUGAAAGACGAACUUCUGCGAAAGCAUUUGCCAAGGAUGUUUUCAUUAAUCAAGAACGAAAGUUGGGGGCUCGAAGACGAUUAGAUACCGUCGUAGUCUCAACCAUAAACGAUGCCGACUA